GGCGAGCUUUUUCAAUGGUUUAGGCGACGUGGAGAGGUCUGCAAAACCUUUAUGCGUCGGUUCGAUCCCGACCCGCGCCUCCA
rnacentral:tRNA from 1 species